UGGGGAAUUUUGCGCAAUGGGGGAAACCCUGACGCAGCAACGCCGCGUGAGUGAUGAAGGCUUUCGGGUCGUAAAGCUCUGUCAGAAGGGAAGAAAUGCAGGGGUGCUAAUACCGCCUUUGCUUGACGGUACCUUCAAAGGAAGCACCGGCUAACUCCGUGCCAGCAGCCGCGGUAAUACGGAGGGUGCGAGCGGUGUUCGGAAUUAUUGGGCGUAAAGCGCGUGUAGGCGGUCUUUUAAGUCUGAUGUGAAAGCCCUGGGCUCAACCCAGGAAGUGCAGUGGAAACUGGGAGACUUGAGUACGGGAGAGGGUAGUGGAAUUCCUAGUGUAGUGGUGAAAUCCGUAGAUAUUAGGAGGAACACCGGUGGCGAAGGCGGCUACCUGGACCGAUAUUGACGCUGAGACGCGAAAGCGUGGGGAGCAAACA
rnacentral:rRNA from 1 species